UACAGGGGGUGCAAACGUUGCUCGGAAUCAUUGGGCGUAAAGCGCACGUAGGCGGGUCUGUUAUGUCGGAUGUGAAAGCCCUUGGCUUAACUGAGGAAGUGCAUCCGAAACUGGCAGGCUAGAGUACUAAAGAGGGUCGCGGAAUUCCCGGUGUAGAGGUGAAAUUCGUAGAUAUCGGGAGGAACACCGGUGGCGAAGGCGGCGACCUGGGUAGAUACUGACGCGUGAGGUGCGAAAGCGGUGGGGAGCAAACAGG
rnacentral:rRNA from 1 species